rnacentral:lncRNA from 1 species
CUUAAAGGAAAAGGACAAAGAUUUUGGGCCUCAUUGCUAGAAUUUUCAUAUUCACAUAAGCUAUUUGUAAUUUUCAUAAGUUUUUUGAGGUAUAAUUGAUAUAUAUUAGUUUCAGGUAUAUAACAUGAUUUGCUAUUUGUGUAUAUUGCAGAAUGAUCAACACAAUGAGUCUAGUUAAUAUCCAUCCUCACACAUAAUUAAACAUUUUUUUGUAUUAAGGAUUUUAGCCAAUUAUUUUAAUUUUAAAAAUGUAUUAGUAUGUGCAAUAUGUUUUUUAUUCAUGUAUUCCCAGAUUGUGUGUAUGUGGACGUGCAAUUUUCAAAAAAAUAAAAUAAUGGUGAAACUAUCCUUUUAUAAGGUUGCAGCAAAAUUUUUUUGCAAUCUAAAAAGUGGGGUGUCCACUUCUUGUGUUUAUCAAAGGGGGCUGUGCAGUGCUCAGACUCUCUUUGUUUCCUUUUUUCUUUAUUACUCUGUGUUAUACAUGUCAGCUCCUAGGAUGAUUAAUCAUCUAGCCUAUUAGAGUAAGGAUGGGUUUGGAAGUGUGAGAUGGGAUGAGUGAUAAGAGGACAAACACAUGGAAAGGAAGAACAAUUUCCUGGCAUAAUAAAAUUAAAAAUAACCCACCCUCAAAGCCAGACAGGUGUCUCUGGGGUUCUAACUAAUGAGCUUUUCUAAUAGCACUUUAGACAUGAAACACCUAUAUUAAUAGUGAAAGAUUUAUAGUCACUGAAAAUAAAUGUUGGAUGGUGUUAAGAAUGCUGGGUGUGUGUUACAUAUAUGAGAAGUACGUAUGAUAGAAUGCUAUCUAAAUAUGUGUGUGUAUAUCAUAUAUAUUGUCAUAUAUACAUGACAGAAUGCUGUAUAUCAUAUAUAUGAUUAAUAUAUAAAAUACUCUUGUCCUGACCUGGUAUUAUACUUUAAUCACAACUGGAAGAAAAAUCUUGAGGAUCUUCCGUUAAUAAUACAAAAUUAUUGUGAAGAUGCCACCGAAUUUUAAAAUAAAUUUAUUCUAAUUUGCACUUGAACCAUAGUAAGUAAACAUGAACAAAUCAUUGCGUGGAGACGUAUAUAAUUAGGGAUGUCCCUUAAUUAGAUAAUUAAGGAUUCACAUCAUCCUCAGAUACCCUACUUGGAAAUGACCCUUAUGUAUCAUCUAAUGUUUGUGGGGAAGAAUCAUAAAAAUUUACUUCUGAAAAAGAUGAAAACGUGAGCUUGUAGUCUGGGAGAUGAAUAAAAAUGAAUCAACUCUGGUUUAAGCACUCAUAGAAAUGGGUCCGUGGGUGAUGAAAGUGAGUAAUGGGCUUAAAGAUGUCUAGGUUCAUUCAAAGUAAAUUAAAACAUAAAAACCCACUCACUCUAAGUUCAAACCCAAAAUAUCUAUUGGACCACUAGUUAAUGAUUUAGUCUUCUGUCUUCAGUUUUUCUUUAACGUCAUUGAGUUGUAAUUUACAUAAGUAAAAAUUCUCCCAUGUUAAUACACAGCUAGGUGAAUUUUGCUCAGCUUGUGUCUUUAGGUAACUACUACCAUAGUCAAAAUUUAGGACAUCUGUCUUCCUUCAAAAAAAUUCCCUCAACUUGCUUUCAUUGUAUCAGUGAGCACCCAGAUAUGUAGAGAGAUUAACUGGUUCUGGGAUUUGGCACAGGCUUGUUGUAAAGACUGGUUUAAGAUUAAUGUAAUUUAAUUUGCAAAGCUUUUAUUGAGGUCUGCUGUGCUCUAGUCACCAAGGAGAAAACAAGUGAGAUAGAGGUAAAGGAGAUGUCAGAACAGGGAAAUCAAAGGUCAGAGAAAAGGGGGCACCCCAACAUCCUGAAGAAAAGGAGAAAAACAGAGGAAGCUUCAACCAGGAAGUGAACCUUGAGUUUAAAUUUGACUCUGAAAUUUGUGAGUACUUUGGAGAGGUUUAUUUAUUUAUUCAUACAUUUAUUCAUUCUUUUAAGUAAUAUUUACUUGAGGUUUGGCAUGUGUCAAGCAAUGUGAUUGGAUCUGAGGAUUCAAGAAUGAACCAAAACAGGCACAGUAUUUUAUAAUUAGCAAUUAGUGAGGGAUAGGGAUUGGUGGAUUUAAGAAUUCCCAAAGCAUGUACUGAUAAAAAGUACCAAAAAAAUUAUAAUGUAGGAUAAGGAAGGGCAAUGGUUUGAUGGUGGAGGAAGACUUCAUUGAGGAAGAGCAUUUAACUUGUGAUCUAAAAGAUGAGUAAGGUUUAAUGGAAGAAAUGAGGGAAGAAAUAUUCCAAGUAAAGAGAAAAGAUAGUGAAGACCUGAAAUAGAAGAGGGUAUUUAGCUGAAAGAAAGUCAAUAUCAAGCAUGGUGAUCAAUAAGCAGGACACAAGAAAAACAGAAAGACUGGGCGCUCUGUUACUCAGGACCAUGUUUAGUGCUUCUCAACUUCAGCAUCAAUUCUGAUUCAGUAAGGCUGUAAUGGGAUUCUUAUUAGGAUAUGCAUUUCUAAUAAGACCUCAGACGAUGUAGAUUCUGCUCUCCCCUUACAGCACUUUUUGCAGUAGCCCUCUUCUAAGCCAUCUCAAGGAUUUGCAAAUGGAAGCUAUUAGAAAUUUCAAAAAUGAUCACAUUCGUGGUUUAAAAACAUCAACCUGGUUACAGUAUGAAAGUUUUCUCUUAAAGCAGAGAGAAAUCAAGUGCUUUUAAAAAAAAUAUAUCCCUUUUAUUGAACCCAAAUGAAGAAAUUCAGGAAAACUUAAAUAAAAGUGUUCUCUAUGCAAAUUUAAGGGUUGGGGAUCCUCAGAUCUUCCAUAACAUAAAAGAGAGUUUGCAUAUUUAUAAAAGCAAUUGUGACAAAUUGAAUUUUAUAAAAAUGACUAAGUAAAUAUUGGAUUAUUUCUAGGGAAUUUUUUUUUUUUUCAGAUCUGCACCUGCAGCAUAUGGAAGUUCCCAGCCUAGAGGUCAAAUCUGAGCUGCAGCUGCCGGCCUACACCACAACCACAGCUACUCGGGAUCCAAGCCACAUCUGCAACCUAUACCACAGCUCACAGCAACAGCAGAUCCUUAACCCAUUGAGUGAGGCCAGGGAUCAAACAUGAAUCCUCAUGAAUACUAAUUGGAUUCAUUUCCACUGAGCCAUGAUGGGAAUUCCCAUAGGGAAAAUUUUAGAAGAAGUAACCAUAUUACUUUAAAUAAGUGCAAAUAUGCAUAUUGGGCUAUUUAAUAUUAAGGUUUUCAAAUUUAACUGUAUGACAAAAUAUUAUUAGAGGAAAGAAAUGACAGUGAAUAUUGCCAAGAGUGCUCUCAUUUUCUGAUAUAAAGAAUUGUUAAUAUUCUUCAUAUAUAAAGAGGUUUGACAAAUAAAUAAGAAUACAAAGAUGAAAACCCUGGCAGGGAGGGCAAAGAAUUUGAAUGGAUAACAGAAAAAAAUUAAGGCAAAUAUCUAUUAAGUUCAUAAACAGCUAUUUUUAUAUAACUAAUAAUAAAAUAAAGAGAUAUUAGGCUAAUUAUCCUUUAUUCCAUUGCCUCAAACCUGUGAAGAUUAAAAUUUUUGAUAAUAAGUAGUUUUGUGGAUAGUGUGAGCUAUUCUUCUAAGCAAUUUAUGCCUUUUUUUUAGAUUGAAGUAUAGUUGAUUUAUAAUAUAUUAGUUUCAGGUGUACAGCAAACUAAUUUGGUGUGUGUGUAUAUAUAUAUUCUCUUAAAAAUUAAUUUCCAUUAAAGUUUAUUAUAAAAUGUUAAAUACAGUUCCCUGUCCUAUGCAGUAAAUCGUGAUGGUUUAUCUAUUUUUUAUAUAGUAGUAUACAUCUGUUAACCCUAUACCUCCAAAUUAUCUCUCUCCCCUUCCCCUUUGGUAACCAUACAUAUAUUUUUCUAUGUCUGUGAGUCUCUCUGUUUUGUAAAUAAGUUCAUUUGUACUUUUUAAAAAUAUUUCACAUAUAAGUGAUAAUAUAUUUACCUUUCUCUGACUUACUUCACUUAGUGGCAUAAUCUCUAGAUCUAUCCAUGUUGCUUACAGAUGGCAUUUCAUUCUUCUUUUAUGGUUGAGUAAUAUUUCAUUGUGCGUGUGUGUGUGUGAGUGUGUGUAUCACAUUUUCUCUAUCCGUUCAUCUUUUAUUGGACACUUAAGUUGCUUCUAUGUCUUGGUGAUCAUAAAUAGUGCCACAGUGAACACUGGGGUAUAUAUAUCUGUUGGAAUUAGAGCUUUUGUCUUUUCUGGAUAUAUGACCAGGAGUGGGAUUGCUGGAUCAUAAGACAACUCUAUUUUUUUAAUUUUUUGAGGAAUUUCCAUACUGAUGUUCUUUUUUUAAAUUAUGUAAUGAAUUUUAUUACAUUUAUAGGUGUAGAACAAUCAUCACAACCAAAUUUUACAGCAUUUCCAUCCCAAACCCUCAGUGCAUCCCCCCACCCUCCAGACUGUCUCAUUUGGAAACCAUAAUUUUUUCAAAGUCUGUGAGUCUCAUUUGGAAACCAUAAGUUUUUCAAAGUCUGUGGCCUUUGCUUAGAUUCCACAUGUAAGUUUUAGCAUUUGAUAUUGGUGUCUCAUUGUCUGACUGACUUCACUUAGCAUGAUAAUUUCUAGGUCUAUUCAUGUUGCUGCAAAUGCUAUUCUUUCUUUCCUUUUAGUAGCUGAGUAAUAUUCCAUUGUGCAUAUGUACCACAUCUUCUUGAUCCACUCCUCAUAUGUUGGGUAUUGUAUAUAGUGCUGCAAUGAACAUUGGAGUACCUGUGUCUUUUCGAGUCAUGGUUUUCUCUGGAUAGAUACCCAGGAGUUGGAUUGCUGGAUCAGAUGGUAGUUCUAUGUUUAGUUUUCUAAGGAACCUCCAUAAUGCUUUCAAAAGUGGUUGCACCAGUUCACAUUCCCACCAACAGUGUCAUAGGGUUCCUUUUUCUCCUCACCCUCUCUAGCAUUUACUGUUUGUAGACUUUUGGAUGAUGGCCAUUCUGGCUGGUGUAAGGUGGUACCUCAUAGUGGUUUUGAUUUGCAUUUCUCUAAUAAUGAGUGAUGUUGAAUAUCUUUUCAUGUGUUUUUUGGCCAUCCAUAUGUCUUCUUUGGAGAAUUGUCUCUUUAGAUCUUCUGCUCAUUUUUUGAUGGGGUCAUAUGGAUUUUCAUAGAGGCUGCACCCAUUCAUAUUCCCAAUAAGAGUAUAGGAGGGUUCCCUUUUCUCCACACCCUCUCCAGCAUUUAUUAUUUGCAGACUUUUUGAUGUAUAUACCUUUUGAGUAAUGAUAUAAUAUCUUUGUUGGACAAUGCCUACCAAAAUUGUAAAUGUGCACAUUGCUUGAUCUAGCAAUUCUACUUCUAGAAAAUUAUUUUACAGACUAAUUUACUAUAGUAUACAAAGAAUUAUCCUCAAGUUAGUUUAUUAUUACUUUAUUUAUAAUAAUAAAAAGUGAAGAUGUAGUUCAUCAAUAGGAAAUUAGUUAAAUAAAUGUGUCCUAUUUUUUCAAUACUAUGCAGCUUAAAAAAUAAAAACUAUAUGUACUGACAAUAAAUAAUAAUAAAUAAACUUACUGAGCACAUGUAAUAGUUUAUAAAUUUUAAAAUUAUCUUAGAAUAACUUUUAAUAUUAUAUAAGUUGAGACAGAGGUGGAGUUUGAGUAACUUACCCAAAAUCACAAGGUAGAACUUCAAUUUCAAACCAAGCUCUUAGUCUAAACUAACCAAAAUACUGUAAAGUUCUGUAAUAUAGUGUAUAUAUUUAUAAAUAUAUAUGUAUAUAUGUAUAUAAACAUACAUACUUGUGUAUAUAAUAUGUGCAUUCAUACACAUGCACAUAUAUAUGAGCUUAUUUUUUUAACACAUAAGGAUAUAUAUUUUUAUAUGUACAUAAAAACCCUGAAGAGAUAUACAGUAAAUAGUUACCUUUUAAUGUUUAUCCCAGGAAAGUAGGAUUGGGGUUAAAAGACACUCACUUAUUUUUUGCACCUUUAUAAUUUAUUACAACUGUGCAUUACUUUUAUGUUAAAAAUGCAAAACUAGACAAAAAGUGAAAGAAGUUUUUAUAUCUAAUGAAGUUACAUAUCAAAUGGAAUUUGAAAAACUCUUAUAGGAAGUAACAUUUAUUUUUCUUUAAAACAAACAAAAAAAAUCUGCAUCUUUGUAAGAGACUCAAGACAUGGUAGAUCUGUUUGGGUUGUCAUGGUGAUGUGUAUUGACUGCCAUUGCUGAAAUCCAUUUGCAAUCGUGAACUGUAAGGACAUUCACACUAAGGGAAUCAGUCACACUAUUCACAAGGACAGGGCCACACUCCCUUAUAUCAUGGCAACAGGGGAAUUUCUAUUACCUUCUGCCCAAUUAAAUUAUUAGGAGUUCCUGUCGUGGCGCAGUGGUUAACGAAUCCGACUAGGAACCAUGAGGUUGCGGGUUCGAUCCCUGCCCUUGUUCAGUGGGUUAACGAUCUGGCGUUGCCGUGAGUGUGGUGUAGGUUGCAGACACGGCUUGGAUCCCGAGUUGCUGUGGCUCUGGCGUAGGCUGGCAGCUACAGCUCUGAUUCAACCCCUAGCCUGGGAAACUCCAUAUGCCGCGGGAGCGGCCCAAGAAAUAGCAAAAAGACAAAAUAAAAUAAAAUAAAAUAUUACCUUCUGCCCAAUUAAAUUAUUAAAACUAAUUCCCUAACCGAUGAAUGAAACAAAAUUAAGAUUAUAUUUACUCAGAUGUUACCUGGAAAAUAAACUACUGCAAAACAAAUAAGAUGAUGAGACUUAGAAAAUACUGAGUUUUAACAAGUCUUUAGCUCUUUUUCUUUAAAGUCAUCUUUAUGAGAGCUUUAGAUGAAAAAAAAAACCCUAAUAUUUAUUGGAUAAUUAUGUCAUAGCUUUUAUCUGUAUUAUAUAAUUUGAUUCUUUACAACAAAGCUAAUCUCUAUACAACCUCCACUCCCACUUACCACCUCAUGGGAAUGUUCAUAGAUUAAAUAACUUCUCCAAGACUAUACUCUAAUAAAAGAUAGUCAUGGUGUUUAAGCAGAGAUAUUUGGCUGUCCACUAAAACCUUAUUAUAUAUGUUUCACUAUUAUUAUGUUCAUUCUCAUUUUCAUCUAAUUGAAUGUAAUUCACUUUAUUUAAAAUAUGACUUCAAGUUAAAAAAUACACUAAGGCAUUUACUCUUCAUAAUUUAAUGAGCUAUUUCAUGUGAAAGUUUCUAAUUAAUAGUACUCAAGGACCAAAUUUACUUUUUUUGGAUCAUUUUUGGCAGGUAGCAUAUUUUAGUGUUUGAUUUUUAAUAUUAGUAUUAAUAUUUCUCUUGUCAUAAUUUUCCAUUAAAAUCAUAUAAAAUAAUUACAUAUGUUCAUUGCUAAUGGGUUAUAUGAUUUUGCUGCAGUUGUAAAAUCUGAAAUCCUCUACAAUGGGUAAUAUUUAGUUCUACUUAGUAAAAUUUAGUCAUAUUUUAAUAUGACUUUUAAGAUGAAAAUGUAUAUAUAAAGCAUAUAUAACUACAUUUUAACUAUAAACAUAGAAUUCCGUUUUGAAAAAUGGAAUCUGUUAAUAAGUGUUUUACAGUAUGAUGUUAGUGUACAAGUUUAAAUUCGAGAGCCUAUUAUUUAUUUAAAAGAUUUUCUAUUAAAGUUAAUUUUAAAAUUGGAUCUUUAAUUUUAAUAUUUGAAUAGAUAGUUUAAUUGAUUAAUCAAUACAGGUAAUUUUAAUGUUUUUGAAGCAUCUGAUAAGUUAAUCAUUUUAAUACUUUCUAGAUUAAAAUAUGUACAAAUCCUGCAUAGUGAAGAGUUUUAUUUGACCAAACAUGCUAUUUGAGUUCAGCUUAGCCUUUCAGUGUUAGUGGUGACUACAUCUGUCUGUACAAACAGUAUCUCUGAGGAGUGAAGUUCUUUGUUCUGGUGGAGAGUAGGCCUGCUUACUGGCAGAGCCAGUACCUUCCUGCCCUAUUCUUGACCUCGACUUUGACCUGGCUGGACCACCCUCACAGGAAUGGAGGGUAAUAAAGUCCUCUGGCUGACUCAAGCCUGAGUUUAAGCUAAGCAGAUAUAAUCAAUCACCUAAAAUUAAGUGUUGUGGUUUUGUGAUGUGGACAUUUACUGGGGACAGAGCUGAGAUCACCAAACACCAUUCAUUUAAGUUUUCAGGGCUGUCUCGGAGUAGGAUCAAGGGUAUUUUAACUAGUACUUCAGGAACUAUUUACCAGAUUCAAAGUACAGAGAUAUGAUCUUAAAGGCAAAGAAAAAGAAAAAGAAAAAGAAAAAGAAAGCAAAGGAAAGGAAAGGAAAGGAAAAAGAAUGAAUUUAACUGAUUUAUUGCAAACCAGGAGUUAAAAAGAGCUAAAAUUCCUUCAAGAAAUAUUACUUUUCUUAAUUUAUCUCAAACUUUGAUUGGGAUAAACUCAUUAACAGCUCACAUUUCUCAAUUGAUAAGCUGUAUGUCUGUGCUAGCCAAGAUAUUUUGCUUCUUGAAAUCAAUUUUGGAAUAUUAGACGAAUGAUCGUACUGUGUUUAGAUAUACUUUUUAUGGUGUUAUUCCAAGAGUCUUGCUCCUUCUCCCCCACUCAUCUUUCCCAAAGUUUUUCAGUGCUUCUAAAGAUUCUCUUGGACUGUUUUAAAUGACCCUGUCUCCUAAAUUCCAAUCCCACUCUGACCUUUUCCUCUUUAACCCUGAAAUUCACAUAAUCUUUAGC